UGAAGAUUUGAAGGUACUUCAUGGUGUACUGCCUGAACUCUUCAAAAGAACUGAUUUGUAAGAUUAGAUUAUUUUGUUUCCAUCUCAAUUGCUAUUAACUGUUAUUAACUACACCAAAGUUCUUAUAAACAGUGAUUAGGUUGAACAUUCAACCAGAAUGGCUCUUUCCAGUUCCAUACAGUGACUGCGGCUGAAUUUGGAAGUCAGCCAGUCUGCAGAAUGAUGGCUUAGUGACAUAUUUACGAAGAUACUCUCCUGUCUCUCUGCAGAAAUGAGAUCAAAGGCAUUUUUCCAAUGUAAACAUUAAAUAUCUACUGAUUAAGAAUUUCAUAGCCUACGCAAGCUGGAAAACUAGCCACAUGCAAGUCACUAGAGGGGAGUCAGAAUCUGCAAACAAACUUGAUCAACUGGAAGCAAUCGUAACGCGCAGAGUGAAUUGUUGAUCUCCUACUGAGAAGGAAAUAUAGAUACGCAGCUUUAGCAACUCAAAUU
rnacentral:lncRNA from 1 species